rnacentral:rRNA from 1 species
GACGAACGCUGGCGGCGUGCUUAACACAUGCAAGUCGAGCGGUAAGGCCCUUUCGGGGGUACACGAGCGGCGAACGGGUGAGUAACACGUGGGUGACCUGCCUUUAGCUCUGGGAUAAGCCUGGGAAACUGGGUCUAAUACCGGAUAUGACUCCAUAGUGCAUGCUUGUGGGGUGGAAAGCCUUGUGCGGCUAGGGAUGGGCCCGCGGCCUAUCAGCUUGUUGGUGGGGUGAUGGCCUACCAAGGCGACGACGGGUAGCCGGCCUGAGAGGGCGACCGGCCACACUGGGACUGAGACACGGCCCAGACUCCUACGGGAGGCAGCAGUGGGGAAUAUUGCGCAAUGGGCGAAAGCCUGACGCAGCGACGCCGCGUGAGGGAUGACGGCCUUCGGGUUGUAAACCUCUUUCAGCCCUGACGAAGCCCUGUGGGGUGACGGUAGGGGUAGAAGAAGCACCGGCCAACUACGUGCCAGCAGCCGCGGUAAUACGUAGGGUGCAAGCGUUGUCCGGAAUUAUUGGGCGUAAAGAGCUCGUAGGCGGUCUGUCGCGUCGGCUGUGAAAUCCCGGGGCUCAACCCCGGGCUUGCAGUCGAUACGGGCAGGCUAGAGUGCGGCAGGGGAGACUGGAAUUCCUGGU